rnacentral:lncRNA from 1 species
UUCAUUAAGAAGGAAUACAGGAUGAUGGUGACUCUGUAACUUUUUCAGCCGCGACAGCUGGCGACUUUGCUGGGGAGUUCUUAUACUUUCCCUAAAGAGAUUUCAUCCUAACCUCCGAUUUUAGGGUUUUGUGUGCUUCCUUGUUUGCUUGCUUUUAUUUAUUUAUUUGUUUACUGCUUUUCAUUUAUUUAUUUUUCUUUUUAUGCUCCUUAUUAUUCUCUUAUCUUAUUAAACUGUCAU